rnacentral:rRNA from 1 species
GGAAGGGAUAACCGCUGAAAGCAUCUAAGCGGGAAGCUCGCCUCGAGAUAAGAUCUCCCAUCCCCUUAGAGGGAGUAAGACUCCUGGUAGACCACCAGGUUGAUAGGCCACAGGUGUAAGUGCAGCGAUGUAUGUAGCCGAGUGGUACUAAUAAGUCGAGGGCUUGAUGUA